rnacentral:rRNA from 1 species
UGGGGAAUAUUGGACAAUGGGCGCAAGCCUGAUCCAGCCAUGCCGCGUGGAUGAUGAAGGCCCUAGGGUUGUAAAGUCCUUUCAGCGGGGAAGAUAAUGACGGUACCCGCAGAAGAAGCCCCGGCUAACUUCGUGCCAGCAGCCGCGGUAAUACGAAGGGGGCUGGCGUUGCUCGGAAUUACUGGGCGUAAAGCGCACGUAGGCGGAUCCUUAAGUCGGUGGUGAAAUCCUGAAGCUCAACUUCAGAACUGCCUUCGAUACUGGGGACCUUGAGUUCGGGAGAGGUGAGUGGAACUGCGAGUGUAGAGGUGAAAUUCGUAGAUAUUCGCAAGAACACCAGUGGCGAAGGCGGCUCACUGGCCCGAUACUGACGCUGAGGUGCGAAAGCGUGGGGAGCAAACA